GACGAACGCUGGCGGCGUGCUUAACACAUGCAAGUCGAACGGAAAGGCCCUGCUUUUGUGGGGUGCUCGAGUGGCGAACGGGUGAGUAACACGUGAGUAACCUGCCCUUGACUUUGGGAUAACUUCAGGAAACUGGGGCUAAUACCGGAUAGGAGCUCCCGCUGCAUGGUGGGGGUUGGAAAGUUUCGGCGGUUGGGGAUGGACUCGCGGCUUAUCAGCUUGUUGGUGGGGUAGUGGCUUACCAAGGCUUUGACGGGUAGCCGGCCUGGGAGGGUGACCGGCCCCAUUGGCACUGGGGUGCGGCCCAGACUCCUUCGGGAGGCAGCGGUGGGGAAUAUUGCGCGCUGGGCGGAGGCCUGAUGCAGCAACGCCGCGUGCGGGAUGACGGCCUUCGGGUUGUAACCCGCUUUCGCCUGUGACGACGCGUGAGUGACGGUAAUGGGUAAAGAAGCACCGGCUAACUACGU
rnacentral:rRNA from 1 species